rnacentral:rRNA from 1 species
CCCUAUGGGGUGCAGCAGCUGGGAGAUACCAUACCCGGCGAUCUCUUCGUCGUCCUGCAGGUCCGGGAGCACGCCAUAUUCGAACGGGCGGGCGACGAUAUCAUCGUUCAGGUCGAUGUGGGGUUUCCGCUGCUUUGUCUUGGAGGAGAGAUCACGAUCCCUACCAUCGAAGGGGAAUCGUCUCUCAGGAUACCUGCGGGAACGCAGCAGGGGAAGGUGUUCAGGCUCAAAGGCCUCGGUGUCACCAAGUCCAACGGCUACGGCAGGGGCGAUCAGCUCGUGUACCUCAACAUUGUCAUCCCUUCAGGCUUGACGGACAGGCAGAAGGCCCUCGUGGAGGAAUUGGCGGGGGGGC